UACGGAGGGUGCGAGCGUUGUCCGGAAUCACUGGGCGUAAAGGGCGCGUAGGUGGCUUGGUAAGCGUGCGGUGAAAGCCCGGGGCUCAACUCCGGGUCUGCCGUGCGAACUGCCAGGCUUGAGCACGGUAGAGGCCAAUGGAAUUCCGGGUGUAGCGGUGGAAUGCGUAGAGAUCCGGAAGAACACCGGUGGCGAAGGCGGUUGGCUGGGCCGUUGCUGACACUGAGGCGCGAAGGCUAGGGGAGCAAACGGG
rnacentral:rRNA from 1 species